UAGUAUGAAUGGACACACGUAAGCUAAGCUGUCUCAUUAACAACCAUAAAAAUUAACCUUUGGGUGAAGAGACCCAAAUUAUAUAAAAAGACGAAAAGACCCUAUGGAGCUUUACUUAAAUAGAAAACCUAAUAAAUUACAUAAAAAAAAACUUCUUUAUAAAGUUUAGUUGGGGCGACUAAGGAGCACAAAAAAUCCUCCUUUUAAUAAAAGAAAAUAACUCUUCUACAGAUCCACCUAAGUGAAUAUAAAACCAGCUACCCUAGGGAUAACAGGCUAAUCCUCCUCGAGAGCCCAAAUUGACAGGAGGGGUUGGCACCUCGAUGUUGGCUUAAGGUUCCUUCAAAGUGCAGCAGCUUUGAGAGUAGGUUUGUUCACCCUUUAAAACCUU
rnacentral:rRNA from 1 species